rnacentral:rRNA from 1 species
UACAGAGGGCUCAAGCGUUGUUCGGAUUCACUGGGCGUAAAGGGUGCGUAGGUGGUGAGGUAAGUCGGAUGUGAAAUCUCCGGGCUCAACCCGGAAAUGGCAUUGGAAACUACCUUGCUGGAGGAUUUGAGGGGGGAUUGGAAUACUUGGUGUAGCAGUGAAAUGCGUAGAUAUCAAGUGGAACACCAGUGGCGAAGGCGAAUCCCUGGAAAAUACCUGACACUGAGGCACGAAAGCUAGGGGAGCAAACAGG